UACGAAGGGGGUAAGCGUUGUUCGGAAUUACUGGGCGUAAAGGGCGCGUAGGCGGUCUUGCAAGUCAGAUGUGAAAGCCCCGGGCUCAACCUGGGAACUGCAUUUGAAACUGCAAGGCUUGAGUAUGGGAGAGGUAAGCGGAAUUCCGAGUGUAGAGGUGAAAUUCGUAGAUAUUCGGAAGAACAUCAAUGGCGAAGGCAGCUUACUGGACCAUAACUGACGCUGAGGCGCGAAAGCGUGGGGAGCAAACAGG
rnacentral:rRNA from 1 species